AUCGAUGAAGAACGCAGCGAAAUGCGAUAAGUAAUGUGAAUUGCAGAAUUCAGUGAAUCAUCGAAUCUUUGAACGCACAUUGCGCCCGCCAGUAUUCUGGCGGGCAUGCCUGUCCGAGCGUCAUUUCAACCCUCGCAGCCUAUCUGGGCAGCGGCGUUGGGGACCGGCCCGCCCCCCGGGGCGAGCCGUCCCCCAAAUUCAGUGGCGGUCUCGCUGCAGCCUCCCCUGCGUAGUAGCACACCUCGCACCGGAGCGCAGCGCGGCCACGCCGUAAAACCCCCGACCCCCACGAGUUUGACCUCGGAUCAGGUAGGAAUACCCGCUGAACUUAAGCAUAUCAAUAAGCGGAGGAAAAGAAACCAACAGGGAUUGCCCCAGUAACGGCGAGUGAAGCGGCAACAGCUCAAAUUUGAAAUCUGGCCCCCAGGGUCCGAGUUGUAAUUUGUAGAGGAUACUUUUGGCGCGGCGCCUUCCGAGUUCCCUGGAACGGGACGCCAUAGAGGGUGAGAGCCCCGUCUGGUUGGAUGCCUAGCCUCUGUAAAGUUCCUUCGACGAGUCGAGUAGUUUGGGAAUGCUGCUCUAAAUGGGAGGUAUAUGUCUUCUAAAGCUAAAUACCGGCCAGAGACCGAUAGCGCACAAGUAGAGUGAUCGAAAGAUGAAAAGCACUUUGAAAAGAGGGUUAAAUAGUACGUGAAAUUGUUGAAAGGGAAGCAUUUGUGACCAGACUUGGGCCCGGUUAAUCAUCCAGUGUUCUCACUGGUGCACUUUGCCGGCCCAGGCCAGCAUCAGUUCGCCCUGGGGGAUAAAGGUUUCGGGAACGUGGCUCCCUCGGGAGUGUUAUAGCCCGUUGCGUAAUACCCUGUGGCGGACUGAGGUUCGCGCUCCGCAAGGAUGCUGGCGUAAUGGUCAUCAGUGACCCGUCUUGAAACACGG
rnacentral:rRNA from 1 species